rnacentral:lncRNA from 1 species
CUCAUGACACUGAAAACAUGGUCUUCAUUCUAAGUAAAUGGUAUGGUUCAAAUAUUUCUUAAAUAUUAAUUCAAUACCAAUACUUUAUAUUGGAAUUAUCCCAGGUUUUUGAAUUAUAUGCCAAAAACUGCAUUUUACCCCCAUGUUCUAAUUUUAGCUAUGGCCGCCAUCUUGGUUUGUUGGCCGAGUUACCAGACACAUUUUUUAAACAAAAUACCCCAAUGAUGAUUAUGGCCAAGUUUGGAUUAAUUUGGCCCAGUAGUUUCAUCAGAGAAGAUUUUUCUAAAAGAUUACUGAGAUUUACGAAAAAUGGUUAAAAAUUUACUAUAAAGGGCAAUAACUCCUAAAGAGGUCAACUGACCAUUUUGGUCAUGUUGACUUAUUUGUAGAUCUUACUUUGCUGAACAUUAUUGUUGUUUACAGUUUAUCUCUAUCUAUAAUAAUAUUCAAGAUAAUAACCAAAAACAGCAAAAUUUCCUUAAAAUUACCAUUUCAGGGGCAGCAACCCAACAACGGAAUGUCCGAUUCAUCUGAAAAUUUCAGGGCAGAUAGAUCUUGACCUGAUGAACAAUUUUACCCCAGUGUGUCAGAUUUGCUCUAAAUGCUUUGGUUUUUGAGUUAUAAGCCAAAAACUGCAUUUUACCCCUAUGUUCUAUUUUUAGCCAUGGCGGCCAUCUUGGUUGGUUGGGCGGGGCACCGGACACAUUUUUUAAACUAGAUACCCCAAUGAUGAUUAUGGCCAAGUUUGGUUAAAUUUGACCCAGUAGUUUCAGAGGAGAAGAUUUUUCUAAAAGAUUACUAAGAUUUACGAAAAAUGGUUAAAAAUUGACUAUAAAGGGCAAUAACUCCUAAAGUGGUCAACUGACCAUUUUUGAUCAUGUUGACUUAUUUGUAGAUCUUACUUUGCUGAACAUUAUUGCUGUUUACAGUUUAUCUCUAUCUAUAAUAAUAUUCAAGAUAAUAACCAAAAACAGCAAAAUUUCCUUAAAAUUACCAUUUCAGGGGCAGCAACCCAACAACGAAAUGUCCGAUUCAUCUGAAAAUUUCAGGGCAGAUAGAUCUUGACCUGUUGAACAAUAUUACCCCAUGUCAGAUUUGCUCUAAAUGCUUUGGUUUUUUGAGUUAUAAGCCAAAAACUGCAUUUUACCCCUAUGUUCUAUUUUUAGCCAUGGCGGCCAUCUUGGUUGGUUGGCCGGGGCACCGGACACAUUUUUUAAACUAGAUACCCCAAUGAUGAUUAUGGCCAAGUUUGGUUAAAUUUGACCCAGUAGUUUCAGAGGAGAAGAUUUUUCUAAAAGAUUACUAAGAUUUACGAAAAAUGGUUAAAAAUUGACUAUAAAGGGCAAUAACUCCUAAAGUGGUCAACUGACCAUUUUGAUCAUGUUGACUUAUUUGUAGAUCUUACUUUGCUGAACAUUAUUGCUGUUUACAGUUUAUCUCUAUCUAUAAUAAUAUUCAAGAUAAUAACCAAAAACAGCAAAAUUUCCUUAAAAUUACCAUUUCAGGGGCAGCAACCCAACAACGAAAUGUCCGAUUCAUCUGAAAAUUUCAGGGCAGAUAGAUCUUGACCUGUUGAACAAUAUUACCCCAUGUCAGAUUUGCUCUAAAUGCUUUGGUUUUUGAGUUAUAAGCCAAAAACUGCAUUUUACCCCUAUGUUCUAUUUUUAGCCAUGGCGGCCAUCUUGGUUGGUUGGCCGGGUCACCGGACACAUUUUUUAAACUAGAUACCCCAAUGAUGAUUGUGGCCAAGUUUGGUUAAAUUUGGCCCAGUAGUUUCAGAGGAGAAGAUUUUUGUAAAAGUUAACGCAGGACGACGGACGACGACGACGACGACGACGGACGCCGGACGCCAAGUGAUGAGAAAAGCUCACUUGGCCCUUUGGGCCAGGUGAGCUAAAAAGGGGUUCA